GCCAGCAUGGUUUAGUAGUUUGAGCAUUGAACUAUGACUCCAGAGACCAAGGUUCAAUUCCUUGGUCA